rnacentral:rRNA from 1 species
CCUACGGGUGGCAGCAGUGAGGAAUAUUGGUCAAUGGGCGAGAGCCUGAACCAGCCAAGUCGCGUGAGGGAGUACUGCCCUAUGGGUUGUAAACCUCUUUUGUCGGGGAGCAAAAGCCGGACGUGUCCGGCUGUGAGAGUACCCGAAGAAAAAGCAUCGGCUAACUCCGUGCCAGCAGCCGCGGUAAUACGGAGGAUGCGAGCGUUAUCCGGAUUUAUUGGGUUUAAAGGGUGCGCAGGCGGAUUGUUAAGUCAGCGGUAAAAUCGUGGGGCUCAACCCCAUCCAGCCGUUGAAACUGGGGAUCUAGAGUGUGCGAGAGGUAUGCGGAAUGCGUGGUGUAGCGGUGAAAUGCAUAGAUAUCACGCAGAACCCCGAUGGCGAAGGCAGCAUACCGGUGCACAACUGACGCUCAGGCACGAAAGCGUGGGUAUCGAACAGGAUUAGAUACCCCUGUAGUC